GCUUAAAAUCUAGCCUUUCAAUAUCUUAUGAAACCUCCCACUAACAUAACCUUAAUAAAACAUUUUUCUAUUAUAGUAGAUGAGAUCAAAAAAUUUCUUUAGCGCUUCAGAUCAAGUACCGCAAGGGAAUGAUGAAAUAAUAAUGAAAAUACUCAAGCACCUAACAGCAGAGCCACAUUCUCGUACCUUUUGCAUCAUGGUCUAGCCAGUCUAAUUAAGCAAAACGAAUUUAAAGUUUAACCCCCCGAAACUAAGUGAGCUACUUCGAAACAACUUUAAGAGCUAACCCAUCUCUGUUGCAAUAGAGUGGGAAGAUUUCCAAGUAGAGGCGACAAACCUAUCGCACCUAGAGAUAGCUGGUUACUCAAGAAAAGAAUGUUAGUUCAACUUUAAGUUUUUCUUAGUUACACUAAACCCCCAUUAAACUUAAAAGCUAUUCAAAUAAGGCACAGCUUAUUUGAAACAGGAUACAACCUAUACUACAGGGUAACACAAUAAAACAAAAUGAUUUGUGGGCCUAAAAGCAGCCAUCUUAAAUAAAAGCGUUAAAGCUUAACAUUUUCUUUCUUAAAUUUCCUACAUCAUUUAAAACCCUUUAACAAUAUUGAGUAAUUCCAUAAAAAUAUGGAAAAUAUAAUGCUAGAACUAGUAACAAGAAAUAGUUUUUCUCCAAAAUGUAAGUCUAAGCCACAUCUGACAAACUAAUGGCAAUUAACGAAAUUGAACCCCAUUUAGCAACCAACCAAGAAAACCCUACAAAUAAAAACGUUAACCUUACACCAGAACAUUAAUGGAAAGAUUAAAAGAAAAAGAAGGAACUCGGCAAAUUUUAACCCCGCCUGUUUACCAAAAACAUCGCCUCUUGAAACAAACCAUAAGAGGUCCAGCCUGCCCAGUGAUAACAUUUAACGGCCGCGGUACCCUAACCGUGCGAAGGUAGCAUAAUCACUUGUUCUUUAAUUGAGGACUUGUAUCAAUGGCAUCACGAGGGUUUCACUGUCUCCUUUUUCUAAUCAGUGAAACUGAUCUCUCCGUGAAGAAGCGGAGAUUUUUUUAUAAGACGAGAAGACCCCAUGGAGCUUUAAACCCAAUUACACUCCUAUUUUUUAUUAACCUCUUAGACUAUGGAUAUUUGUAUAUUUGGUUUUAGGUUGGGGUGACCACGGAGCAUAACUUAGCCUCCAUGAUGAACGGGAUUUUACCCCUUAUCCAAGAACUACACCUCUAAGAACUAGUAUUCUAACAUAAAAUGAUCCGAUAAUCGAUCAACGAACCAAGUUACCCUGGGGAUAACAGCGCAAUCCACUUCAAGAGCUCCUAUCGACAAGUGGGUUUACGACCUCGAUGUUGGAUCAGGGUAUCCUAGUGGUGCAGCAAUUACUAAAGGUUCGUUUGUUCAACGAUUAAAACCCUACGUGAUCUGAGUUCAGACCGGAGUAAUCCAGGUCGGUUUCUAUCUAUAAAGAGUUAUUUCCAGUACGAAAGGACCGAAACAACAUGGCCUCUGCUUAAACAAGCCAUCACACUUUAUUAAUGAAUUUAACUUAAUUAAUUUUUAUCUAAAACUAUUCCCUAAACAAGGGCGU
rnacentral:rRNA from 1 species